CGUGGGUGUUCUAGAGCCAUGAGUGUAUUCAACUGCCACAUGUGCUCCUUUUUUUUCUGAAAGCCAUUUUAUCCCUGUUUCAUGUGGUUAUAGGAGGUUAUAGGAGGAGAGAGAAGUCAAGGGGGGAAUUUGGACAAGAAGAGGUCCACCAUGGCUUGGUCCACCUGCCAAGUAGGGCUGGUCAAGCGGCGGCAUUUAUGGUGGGCCUUGGCCUGGCAGUUCCGGCUCCUGCUCCCGUGGCCCUUGCUUGGCCGGAAAAUGCACCACGAGACCCGAUUGGACCGGAAUGGAAAAUGGGCCGAGAAGGAGCAACAAGACCAGCUAAAAAGGACCCAAAGAGACUUCCCAGGCUGCAUAGGAAGACGAGACGAAUAAAUCCUGGAAAAGGUGCUGGAAACCCUAUCAAGAUACAGAUGCUACCUUUGAUGAAAUUGACCUGAAACAAGCAGAAAUGUCUCCAGUUUCUCUAAUUAGACUUUGUUGAAUGCCUCGUGUCUGAUAUAUAUGUACCGACUAUCUUAAGAACUUCCAAGGAUGGUAAGGUUGCCCAUCUGUCUAUGAAAACAGGCUAACGAAUACGUUAGAUCCAAUGGCAAGAACCAAUAAAUAUAAAUAUUGUAAAUAAAUAAAUAAUAGAAUUAAGGGUGGUAUGAAAAAGGAAAUACUACAUUACAAAGGGAAUUGACUCCAUCGAGGACGCCCUGAGCUUGCAAGACCAGAACCAGAGUCUUAUAAGGUUCUCCUUUGUGUGGUCACAAUGAAUCGAUAAUAAUAAUAAUAAUAAUAAUAAUAAUAAUAAUAAUAAUAAUAAUAAUAAUAACAACAACAACAACAACAACAACAACAACCCUGAUCCUUGCAGCCCAGGAGCAAGCCAUCAGAACAAAUGCAAUUAAGGCCAAGAUCAAAAAAUCAGCUGAUGACCCAAAAUGGAGACUGUGCAAGGAAACCGACAAAACCAUUGAUCAUAUCCUCAGCUGCUGUAAGAAAAUUGCACAGACAGACUACAAACAGAGGCACAACUCUGUGGCCCAAAGGAUUCAUUGGAACUUAUGCCUCAAGUACCACCUCCCAGCAGCAAAGAACUGGUGGGAUCACAAACCUGCAAAAGUAUUGGAAAAUGAGCACGCAAAGAUACUGUGGGACUUCCGAAUCCAGACUGACAAAGUUCUGGAACACAACACACCAGACAUCACAGUUGUGGAAAAGAAAAAGGUUUGGAUCAUUGAUGUUGCCAUCCCAGGUGACAGUCGCAUUGACGAAAAACAACAGGAAAAACUCAGCCGCUCUCAGGACCUCAAGAUUGAACUUCAAAGACUCUGGCAGAAACCAGUGCAGGUGGUCCCGGUGGUGAUGGGCACAUUGGGUGCCGUGCCAAAAGAUCUCAGCCGGCAUUUGGAAACAAUAGACAUUGACAAAAUUACGAUCUGCCAACUGCAAAAGGCCACCUUACUGGGAUCUGCACGCAUCAUCCGAAAAUACAUCACACAGUCCUAGACACUUGGGAAGUGUUCGACUUGUGAUUUUGUGAUAUGAAAUCCAGCAUAUCUAUCUUGUUUGCUGUGUCAUAAAAUAAUAAUAAUAAUAAUAAUAAUAAUAAUAAUAAUAAUAAUAAUAAUAAUAAUAAUAAUAAUAACAACAACACUUUAUUUAUAUAUCAUCCUAUCUCCCUGAAGGGACUCAGGGUGGUGAACAACCAAGUCAACAAUCAUUCAAUGCUCCACAAAAGCAAAACACAUAAACAAAUAACCAUCCCACCCACCUGACAGAUCCAUAUUUAAAUCAAAAAUAAGACUCAAAGCCAACGUGACGGCACAUAAUUUUAACAACACAAUUUGGGCUGACAUCUUGGAAGAAACAGGUUGGAAUCCCUCCAUUACAUUCUUUUCCCUUCGUCCCUAAUGUCAGUUUUUUUUAAAAAAAAACGUGCAGCUUUGACGAGAUGCGAUUCUUUUGGACACAAUUUGGAAAACAGCCCAAUUCAUUUUCAGCUGCAUUUGGAUAAUCUUCCACUAAUCUCCGAAAACCCCAUUGCCUGCAUCCAGAGCCAAUUUGGAAUGGAUAAACAUCAGUUCCUCACUAAACAGUUCUGCAACGGAGCAAUAAACCGACGCUUAACCGUAUAUUACAAAUCUAACACUCUAGAUUAACAUUAAUGAAAAUUUGGAGGCAAUCGCGAGUGGAAAAUAGAAGCGAUAUUUGUCUUAUGCAAAAAUCAAACCACAUCCUGGCACUGAAUAUUAAAAAUUUCAGAGUUAAUAAAAGCGGCGAUCAUUUUCUUUCCGUUGCCCUUUUCACCCAUUUGGAAAAACGUUCCUCAAAAGAAAUGACAAGGAAUGGCCAUUUCGGAAGAAAACUAGGUGAAUUAAAGAAAAGAUCUGCAAACCGUUGUGGCUUUGGGGAAAGUGAUGCUCUAUUUCCGUUGUGGCGAACCCAGCCAGAUAGAACAUUUCUUCCACUAUGCAUUGCCAGUCUCAUUUGUAAUCAUUAGCACUUUUCUAUAUUGCUAGUCAGGUUGAGGGAUGCCCGGUUCGCAAAGAGGCCUUGCCACUUUUGUUUCAAUUCAUUACCCAAUUUAAUUGCAUUUUCGAAAGGUUGUUGUGUAUGGGAAAGCCAUUAAGCAAAACAAGUGCCAUAGAAUCCUUUGGUGCCCCCUCUUUCCUUACACUUUUCAUUCACUUUUGAUGGAAUUUAUUUUGCUGGCUAACCCGCAGGGACUUUCUGGAUGCAGAAACAGAGCAGAUGAUGAAAUUUAAACGGGAUCAACAUUGGAAAAGUGCAUCCUUUAUAUACUCUGAGCCAUUGGAUUAGAACAGGGGUCCCCAAACUAAGGCCCGGGGGCCGGAUGCGGCCCUCCGAGGUCAUUUACCUGGCCCCC